AGUGGCACAUUACACAUCAACUGUACCACAGAGGGUCUUGCAGCAGGGAAAAAGGCCUUUAACCCACUGAGCUUGUGCUGUCCACCAAGCCCACAUUGCACAAAUACCAUUUUAUUUUCCACACAUUCCUAACUAGCCCUUUAUUCUACCACUCACCUACAUACCGCGAGCGAUUUACAGUGGUCAAUUAGCCACAGAACGCACACAAAUUUGGAUUUGGGGGAAAUUAGAAUAACUGGAGGAAACCCAAAUGGCUACAGGGAGAAUGUUCAAACACCGGGUUCAAUCCUGAGCCAUGCUCUGAGGUAGACUGUGUUGCCCCUAAUGUUAACAUUAUUUUGGUUCUGGAGUAACAUUCGUGAGGGAAGGACUACACUGCUUAUGUAAAAGCUUAAAUGUGAUUUAGAAGAUACCCAUCUUGGUCCCACCACAAGGGCCUACACAGAUACAGGAAUGAUGGGAGGAACGGACUCGCCUGCUGAGUGGUCAGAAGGUCAACGUGGGCUACUUUGUCGGAUUGUCAGGUGGGAAUGUUCAAAAAGCAGAAUUCAAAUUGCGUUUGGUCAAAUUCUCCUCUGAGAUCAGGGCAGGGCUAUCAGAAGAUAAGACACAAGGUUGGUCCACUGUAUUUUCUUGCAAACCCUCCAGCAACAUGACUGCUACUUAAAAUGUAAUGAUUUAAUAGGAGUUUCAUGGGAACCUCUUGUUUCAUUCAGUAGUUUCUACCCUCCUAUACUAAGCCGCAGAAUUAGUACAGGACUCAAUCUAAGCUUUGCAUAUGUCAUCCAACAUUUUAAAAGUUGUGCUUUGGCAGUGAACCAGGAGCAGCAUUGAGAAACAUCACAGUGCAGUCCAAACCCCCCCUCCUAUAAUCCGGACAUAAUUACGAGAGCUCAGUUGAAAUUCUAUCAACGGCCACAGGUGGCAUUGCCCAUGGCGAGCACUCUUGGAUAGUGUCUGUCCGUCGCAAAAGAGUUAUUUGUUUACAUCUAAAUAAAAUCCCUCCUUGGCCUAGUCUAAUUCUA